AGAGUUUGAUCCUGGCUCAGAACGUACGCUGGCGGCACGCCUAACACAUGCAAGUCGAACGAAGUAGCAAUACUUAGUGGCAGACGGGUGAGUAACAUGUAGGUAUCUGCCCUUUGGCCUGGAAUAACACGAGGAAACUUGUGCUAAUACCGGAUAAGUCUUUACGGAGAAAGCUUUAUGCACCAUUGGAUGAGCCUGCACUUGAUUAGUUUGUUGGUGGGGUAAUGGCCUACCAAGACUGUGAUCAAUAGCUGAUUUGAGAGGAUGAUCAGCCACAUUGGGACUGAGACACGGCCCAAACUCCUACGGGAGGCAGCAGUGGGGAAUCUUGCACAAUGGAGGAAACUCUGAUGCAGCGAUGCCGCGUGAGUGAAGAAGGCCCUUGGGUUGUAAAGCUCUUUCGUCGGGGAAGAAAAUGACUGUACCCGAAUAAGAAGGUCCGGCUAACUUCGUGCCAGCAGCCGCGGUAAUACGAAGGGACCUAGCGUAGUUCGGAAUUACUGGGCUUAAAGAGUUCGUAGGUGGUUGAAAAAGUUAGUGGUGAAAUCCCAGAGCUUAACUCUGGAACUGCCAUUAAAACUUUUCAGCUAGAGUAUGAUAGAGGAAAGCAGAAUUUCUAGUGUAGAGGUGAAAUUCGUAGAUAUUAGAAAGAAUACCAAUUGCGAAGGCAGCUUUCUGGAUCAUUACUGACACUGAGGAACGAAAGCAUGGGUAGCGAAGAGGAUUAGAUACCCUCGUAGUCCAUGCCGUAAACGAUGUGUGUUAGACGUUGGAAAUUUAUUUUCAGUGUCGCAGGGAAACCGAUAAACACACCGCCUGGGGAGUACGACCGCAAGGUUAAAACUCAAAUGAAUUGACGGGGACCCGCACAAGUAGUGGAGCAUGUGGUUUAAUUCGAAGAUACGCGCAGAACCUUACCAACACUUGACAUGUUCGUCGCGACUCUAAGAGAUUAGAGUUUUCGGUUCGGCCGGACGAAACACAGGUGCUGCAUGGCUGUCGUCAGCUCGUGUCGUGAGAUGUUGGGUUAAGUCCCGCAACGAGCGCAACCCUCACUUUUAGUUGCCAUCAUUAAGUUGGGCACUCUGAAAGAACUGCCAGUGAUAAGCUGGAGGAAGGUGGGGAUGACGUCAAGUCCUCAUGGCCCUUACGUGUUGGGCUACACACGUGCUACAAUGGUAUCUACAACAGGAAGCAAAACUGCGAAGUUAAGCAAAUCCCUAAAAGAUACCUCAGUUCGGAUUGCACUCUGCAACUCGAGUGCAUGAAGCUGGAAUUACUAGUAAUCGUGGAUCAGCGUGCCACGGUGAAUGCGUUCCCGGGUCUUGUACACACCGCCCGUCACACCAUGGGAGUUGGUUCUACCUUAAGGCAAGGUUUCAAACCCUUGACCACGGUAUAGUCAGCGACUGGGGUGAAGUCGUAACAAAGGUAACCGUA
rnacentral:rRNA from 1 species